CUGCCUAUCACUGUCAAUGUUCUGCACUUAGUCCUGUGAAGGCUGAGAAAACAAGCAGCCCCUGGCAGCUAAGGACUGACUGAGCCUUCUACUUGAUGGGACUUCUGGCUACAGUUUAUAAAAUAAACUUACAUAGCAAGCAUCUGCCUACCAUGCUGGAAAUCUUUGCUACCACUGAUCAAACUAUGGAAGUUCUUCUGGUCUUUGGUAUGCUUGACAUACAUUGGAGGAGAAUGAUAAAGCAAAACGUGAAGAUGCUAUAAGGAAUGACAUCUGACACAAAAUGGAUUAAAUACUAAACACUUCAAAUACCAUAUUGAUGUACUUGUGUGUUUGGA